rnacentral:sRNA from 1 species
UGCAAGGGUUAUUGGAUCUGGUGGAUCCU